UGUAAAUUGUUAUUUGUUCUAAAUUGUUUAUUAUGCAUGGUAUCCAUAUUAUCAAUUUAAACCAUGGAGAAAUGUUCGCAAAAUCGAGUUGCUACGGUAGCGCGAGAGAGGCUUCUUUAAAAUAGACUUGCUAUAAUCCACUUGAGUUACCACCGUUCUUCGCACGCGCCAAUUUGUAGUUUGCUUUGCCUAGCGUCGCUACCGAUGGGAGUGUAAUUUGGCUACCGAAAGAGGCUAUCGACCUUAUCAAGAGUUCACGAACCCUUGCAUCCUUCGGUGAAGAGUCUGUUUCACUCUGAUGGCUGGCAAGCGACGGACUGGCAUUCUUGAAGCCACCCGUAGAAAUGAGAUGCUGUUAUGCAGCUGGGGAAACUCGGGACGGUUAAUGCGAAUUCGAGAAUGUCGCUAUUGUCCACUUCGUGGAAAAUACGUCAGAUCCGCUAACGAAGACCUUCAAACCGCGGUUAAUCUGAGGAUUUUCAAAGCCCAAUAAACCACUUUGAACUAAUCAGUGGAAGAGGCAAGAGUGGUUCGUCAUUUGUUCGCGCCGUGAUGUGUUCAGCGUGAAUAGCAAUUGAUAGUGCAACCCAAGUAGCUUGGCGAUUCUUGUGUGCGCGCCGAAGAAGAUUUUAAGGUUCGUGGCAGCCGUCGAACGUCCAAAGCAUCACAUCUCCUCGUUGGUAACCACUCUUGACCCCACAGUUCGUCUCAAGGUUGGUCCCGGUGGUACACGUGGCCGGAAGAAGGCAACAUCCGUCAAACCGCGCCUUGGCAGGACCAUUCGACUACCGAAACGCAGUACCAGCACACCCAGUACAUUUUCCGGUGACGACCGGGAGAUUUGGCGGCACUACCCAGCCAGCAGUCCACGAAUCGGCGGUGAAGACUAUCGUCGUACAUUAGGCGCGAUCAGGAGUGAUCGCACGUAGUAGCAGCAGCAGUAGAAGAAAUCGCCGUCUCCCGCCCAACAUCAACACGUAAACCCUAGGUCGUGAGUAAAAUGAAAUUUAUGUUUGUGAUGUCCAUGCGCAUGGGGUCACCAUAGACGGCCGUACCCUACCGUCAAAUUCUGCCAUGCGUGGCUCGACCAUAUAGAUUGCCGUUCAAUUAUCACAGCAUCGAACAAGCACACCCCGAGAGCACGCACAAUAGAUAGUAGAGCGUCGCUCUAGAGAUAGGAGAGGGAACACGAGCAAAUGGGAAGGGAAAACUGCCUAGCUAGGUCGAAAUGAAUCUCAGAAUGCGGAAAGCGAAUAAUUGUAAAUAAAUGUAUUGAUGUAGCGAAAAUGUGCUGUUUGCGAUAUAGCAGAAAAUGUAUCCCGUAGGAUAAAUGUACUGAUUGUCGUCUUGGUGAAGUUUUUCAGUUCUAGUCAAAUCGU